GACGAACGCUGGCGGCGUGCUUAACACAUGCAAGUCGAACGGGCCUUGUCCCCUUUUUUUUUGGGGGUGGGGUUAGUGGCGAACGGGUGAGUAACACGUGAGUAACCUGCCCCUCACUUCUGGAUAACCGCUUGAAAGGGUGGCUAAUACGGGGUGUUCUGGCCUGCUCGCAUGGGUGGGUUUGGAAAGAUUCGACCGGUUUGGUUGUUUUGGUGGGGGAUGGGCGCGCGGCCUAUCAGCUUGUUGGUGGGGUGAUGGCCUGCCAAGGCUUUGACGGGUAGCCGGCCUGAGAGGGUGGGCGGUCACACUGGGACUGAGACACGGCCCAGACUCCUACGGGAGGCAGCAGUGGGAAAUAUUGCACAAUGGGCGCAAGCCUGACGCAGCGACGCCGCGUGAGGGAUGGAGGCCUUCGGGUUGUGAACCUCUUUCGCCAGUGAAGAAGGUCCUGCUCUUUGUGGUGGGGUUGACGGUAGCUGGGUUAAUGAAGCGCCGGCUAACUACGUG
rnacentral:rRNA from 1 species